GAAGUGGUCUCAUGGUGUAAUGGU
rnacentral:piRNA from 1 species